rnacentral:rRNA from 1 species
GACCGUAAAGCCCUUAGAGGCGAGGGGGUCUAGGCGGAGGCGAAGUGUAUAGCGCCGGAGGAGGAGGAGGAGGGGAAGUGUGAUCGUCUGUGACGGCGAUCGGAGGCAGGGAGGGGGCAGAGAGGAGGAGCAGCGUCUCGACGGUGGCCCGGCCCGCUUUAUUUGGUAACCUUGUUCCCCUUUUUUGAACGGUUUUGGGAUCUAGAGGGCGAGCGUAACGGGAAGAUACUGGGAGCCGGGGGUGACUCCCGUGCCGGUACCGGAGGCGCCGGCAGUAGGGGAGGGGGCGGCCGCCGCGGCACGGGCACGUGCCCCGGCGGCUCGGGCGGCCGACCGAGUACCUGCUCGCGCUGCCGAAGUAGAGGACCGACGCCCCGCUCAAGCGGCGGCGGUUGCGGUAGUAGCUGGAGGAGCAGCACGUGGAGGCGCGGCAGCCGCUGGGCCCGCUCAUGCUGGUGCAGAAGCGGCGGCACGUCGUCGCGGCGGUGGUGACCCGCGGGCAGUAGGUGUACGUCGUCAAGAAGGGGCAGCGGCUGCAGCGGAUGCGCGACGUCGUCAGGCCGACCGCGGCGGCGGACGGCGGGGGCGUCGUCGUGCCGGGGCAGCAGAGCGGCCGGGGCGGCGGCGGAGGAGGCGCGGCGGGCAGGAAGCGCGGGAGGGUGUUGGUGAGGGUGAGGGUGGUGGCGGUGCGGCGCGUGGUAGCGAUGCUAGGCGGCGCACCACGUCCGUUGCAGGGCGGACGGCCUAGGCUAUUUCUACCCGCACUUAAAGUAUUGUUUCUUCCCUUCCCUGAAUUCCUUCCCCUCUUGCAGCGACUACGAUUUCCAGGUGUCAACUUAAGAGGACAAUGACUACGUCCGCUCUUUUUAAGAUCGGACGUUUAAUGACGACUUCCUUCGUCGUUUCACCAAGGUUGAGGACAUCUUAUAUGUUGGUCACUUUAGUAACUACCGUUCGGCCAAUUAUGACAACUUCCCGAGUUCCAAAUACUUCCCAACCAUUUACACUGACUCUAUUUGUUCUAACAAAGAAAUCAAUUACUUUGUUUUCGAAGAAGAGCAGCUCCUCCCAAGCUUCCAUUAAUACAUCGGAGAUUUCAAUAAACAAAGACACGGAUACACGUAGUGGACACACACAUCACACAAUCGCAUUGACACACGUGAAAACGGUGUAACUUAAGACUUAAAUAUAGAUUUAACGUAUGACAGUCUUAUAACGGCUUGUAGAUCCCUUUACGGUGUCGAAUCGUCUCAGAUAAUGGGAACCGAUCAACCGGUAAACAGGAUCAGACAGAAAUAGAUUAAAAACCCCAUGACACUAAGUUGAUAAAAUAACCUGAAACGACAAUUAAAACGAACCACGUUUUUCACCCGGUCUGACAAUAACAACCAUUUUCUGGUGACUUCCCAGUACCUUCGCAUUAAUAAGUCGACCCUCAAGGAUAGUAACUUCCGGGAGAACUUCUACUUUUAGUUUCUCUCUGUUGUUCCCAUCUCGGACAAGGACCCAACGACGUACUGGACAAACUAGCGAAGAAAGCCGUCCCUUAACAUGGAAGAUUCGGUCUGAUAACACAACAGCUGAAGAUGAUACUCCUCCUUAUAAGGGUAGGAGUCGUUGGAGGGAGUACCAUACCAUCCGGUGAAACAUGGGAGACGGACUGUCUCACACUAUACCACAAACCGGCUCAAUAAAAACCUCUUGCUCCACUAUUGUCUCCGGGAAACUUCGAGAGAGAUAGAUGUCCCAGAGAACAUCACAACGUUCCCUCUUCACGACUACAUCGGUUCGCUCGAUAAGGACGAUGUGCAUUCGUCGCUUAGGAAGAUUGAAAACCCUUCAGACACCGUUCUUUUCAACGUGGUAGCCUUUCACGAAGUGCCGGAUGGCGGGGCAACUGUGGAGGAAGAUACGGGACCCCAGGUGGUAGUUCCGGUCGAUUACACUCCGGUGUAAGAGGUUCAGGCGUCGUGAAACCUAUGUGGGGCUGGUCGUCGCAUGAAGGUCGUGGUUGUUGACCUGGAGUAGUGUAGGGAGGCAGACUACCUUACGUCGGUGAGAAACAUCGUGGACGAGGACAACGACGGCGUCGGUAUGGAAAGGGUCGUCGACAAGGGAACGGUUUACGUUGCCGUCGAACCUACGGUCUUCGACGGGGUUCCGGACGGGGUGGAGCUAAGGGACAAGGUCCGUGUCCGCAGAAGGAAGGAGGACCUAGUCGAGUGGUCGACGGGGUAGUCUACUAUGUUCGAAGGGUUCGAGUACGCCUUGGAUUGAGGGGUUCUCCGAGUCGUCGAAUACACGUAUUGUUCCCAUGACAGUACCUCCACCGAUUACCAUCACGAAGAGGUUUCUCGAGUCCUUGUUGUUUUUCCCGGCUAUGUUGGCUCCGUUUUGGUCUCACGUUACCCUCGAGAUCAAGACACCCACUCCUCGUCGUCUUGCCACCAUACUUCUUACGACCCGAGUCGUUCCAACUCGGUUCACGGCGAUUUAUCUUCCCUCCAUAUCAUGUAUCUCUUGUCUUUGUACUCUGCUCCUUUGGAGUUAAAAGGUCCAGUACCAACGCCCGUUGAGAGGAUAGGAACUGUUCGUGUUACGGAACUACGGCAGCUGAACAGCACUCUUACUUACUUUUGGCAGAAUUCAAAACAUCGGCUAGCUAGACAUCGUUUUGACCUAUAUAGUACGACGAAAUUGAAUAGUGGACGAACGAUGUUAAUACCCUCAUACCCGAUUCUACAAGUUGUACAAUAGGCCACGAACAAGACAAGAAUAGCACGACCACAAUGAACAAGCAGCGUACACGUAUAAAGCAACUAAGAAGAGCUCAACGUUCGGACACUGUUCGACUUUUACCAAUAACCAGGGCUGAUCAGACACUUAGAGUUGAACAGA